GUACACUCCUACGGGAGGCAGCAGUGGGGAAUUUUGGACAAUGGGCGAAAGCCUGAUCCAGCAAUGCCGCGUGAGUGAAGAAGGCCUUCGGGUUGUAAAGCUCUUUUGUCAGGGAAGAAACGGUGAGAGCUAAUAUCUUUUGCUAAUGACGGUACCUGAAGAAUAAGCACCGGCUAACUACGUGCCAGCAGCCGCGGUAAUACGUAGGGUGCAAGCGUUAAUCGGAAUUACUGGGCGUAAAGCGUGCGCAGGCGGUUUUGUAAGUCUGAUGUGAAAUCCCCGGGCUCAACCUGGGAAUUGCAUUGGAGACUGCAAGGCUAGAAUCUGGCAGAGGGGGGUAGAAUUCCACGUGUAGCAGUGAAAUGCGUAGAUAUGUGGAGGAACACCGAUGGCGAAGGCAGCCCCCUGGGUCAAGAUUGACGCUCAUGCACGAAAGCGUGGGGAGCAAACAGGAUUAGAUACCCGUGUAGUCCCAU
rnacentral:rRNA from 1 species